rnacentral:tRNA from 1 species
UAGCCUAGUGGUUAAGGCUAUGGAUCGCCAAACCGGAGACUGCGGGUUCGAUUCCCGU